rnacentral:rRNA from 1 species
AUUGAACGCUGGCGGCAUGCCUUACACAUGCAAGUCGAACGGCAGCACGGGUGCUUGCACCUGGUGGCGAGUGGCGAACGGGUGAGUAAUAUAUCGGAACGUACCUUAUUGUGGGGGAUAACGCAGCGAAAGCUGUGCUAAUACCGCAUAAUCCCUUAGGGGGAAAGCGGGGGACCGUAAGGCCUCGCGCAAUUAGAGCGGCCGAUACCUGAUUAGCUAGUUGGUGAGGUAAAGGCUCACCAAGGCGACGAUCAGUAGCUGGUCUGAGAGGACGAUCAGCCACACUGGGACUGAGACACGGCCCAGACUCCUACGGGAGGCAGCAGUGGGGAAUUUUGGACAAUGGGGGCAAACCUGAUCCAGCAAUGCCGCGUGAGUGAAGAAGGCCUUCGGGUUGUAAAGCUCUUUUGUCAGGGAAGAAACAGCAGCUCUAACACAGUAUGCGAAUGGCGGUACCUGAAGAAUAAGCACCGGCUAACUACGUGCCAGCCGCCGCAGUAA